UACGGGGGGGGUAAGCGUUGUUCGGAAUUACUGGGCGUAAAGGGCUCGUAGGCGGCCAACUAAGUCAGACGUGAAAUCCCUCAGCUUAACUGGGGAACUGCGUCCGAUACUGGAGGGCUUGAGUGUGGGAGAGGGAUGCGGAAUUCCAGGUGUAGCGGUGAAAUGCGUAGAUAUCUGGAGGAACACCGGUGGCGAAGGCGGCAUCCUGGACCAUGACUGACGCUGAGGAGCGAAAGCCAGGGGAGCAAACGGG
rnacentral:rRNA from 1 species